rnacentral:lncRNA from 1 species
UUGCUGGUGAAGAAGGCUUUAUUAUAUUAUGGGCAAUGUGAGCCAGAGAGACAUUAGCCAAACCUCAAGUCCUCCCCCUACUCCUGACUAAAGUCAGGGGUUUAUGUAUUAGGUUGGUGCACAGUGAUUGCAGUUUCAGAUUGUGAAUUUUAAAUCAUUAUAACUAGGCUCAAACACAUCUUUAUUAAUCAAAAUAGGAACCAUUAUAAUCAGCACCUUUUUGCCAAUGAGAGAUAAGUUUGUUUAUUUCUGUAGCAUAAAAAUCUGUGCUUCAGGAUGUUGUUAUAGGACUUUCUCCUUAGUUCAGCUAAAAGUCAUGUUCUUGUCACAUGGCCAUGAAAUACUAGGCUCACAGACACUUUGAAGGGUGAGAAAAAUAGAAUAUAUUGGGCAAAAAGGAGAAAAAAGGAAAACAGGAACUCUCAGCAAAGUGAGAGCCCUGCUAGAUGGUUUCCCACCUCACAGACUGAAUCCCAGGUACCACCUGGAACAGGAGCGGCCAGGCUCCUCCCCUCUGCAAAUAACGCAAACUUCCUGAGCUCCACCCCAGUGUGCACUCCUCCCAGUGCACAGGCCAGUCAGAGGUUCUGCCAGGGGGCCCUUUUUAUUUGGCUGUUCAUUUGAUAAACUCUUGGAAAGCAUUUUCUGCAUCCUACUGGUUGUGGAAACAUUUUCCCUGCAAAACGUUGUGAAAAUGCUUGAAGAAGUGGUAGUCGGUUGUCAAGAGGUCAGGUGAAUAUAGUGGAUUAAGCAAAACUUGGUAGCCCAAUUUGUUCAAUUUUUGAAGCAUUGGUUAUGUGAUGUGCAGUCAGACCUUGUCAUAAAGAAAAACUGGACCCUUCUGUUGACCAAUGCCAGCUGCAGGCAUUGCAGUUUUUGGUGCAUUUCAUCAAUAUGCUGAGCAUACUUCUCAGAUGUAAUGGUUUUGCUGGGACUCUGAAAGCUUUAAUGGAUCAGACUGGCAGCAGACCACCAAACAGUGACCAUGACCUUUCUUUGGUGCAAAUUUGGCUUUGGGAAAUGCUUUGGAGCCUCUUCUUGAUUCAGCUACUGAGCUGACCAUUGCCAGUUGUUGUAUAAAAUCCACGUUUCAUCGCACAUCACGAUGCAGUCAACAAAUGGUUUGUUGUUGUAUAGAGUAAGAGAAGACAACACUUCAAAGUGACAAUUUUUUUAAAAUUUUCACUCAGCUCAUGAGGCACCCACUUACUGAGCUUUUUCACCUUUCCAAUUUGCUUCAAAUGCCAAAUGAUCAUAGAACAGUCGACAUUGAGUUCUUCCCCAACUUCUUGUUUAGUUGUAAGAUGAUCAGCUUCAAUGAUUGCUCUCAAUUGCUCAUUGUCAACUUCCAAUUGCCGGCCACUACGCUCCUCAUCUUCAAGGCUCUUGUCUCCUUCGUAAAACUUUUUGAACCAACACUGCUCGGUGCAUUCGUUAGCAGUUCCUGGGCCAAAUGCAUUGUUGAUGUUGCGAGUUGUCUCUGCUGCUUUUAAACUCGAAUAAGAAAAUUACUAGAAUUUGCUUUUUGUCUAACAUCAUUUCCAUAGCCUAAUAGCUUGGAAGAAGAACCAGGGCCGGGGGAGAGGAAGAGGAGCUGGUCAACAGGCAGCAGGUAGCUGAAUGAGGGAUCUAGCAUCUCACUGUAAUCACGUGCAGGAAAAAAAGGAAUUAUGGAGGAGCUAGGAAGAGGGUUGGUUCGACAGGCAGCAGGUGUGUCUCAUUGGGUGCAGUGAUCCAAUCCAUAAAGCCUCAGCUCCCUGGUGUCAUACAGGAGGCCUGACCGUCAGUUUCCUGAGGAUGAUCUACAAAGCCAGUUCAGCUGGCUCUUCAGCACUGUAUUAAAAAUACUCUUAGUUCUGGGGAAAAAAAAAAAAACACUUUCA